rnacentral:rRNA from 1 species
UACGGGGGGGGCAAGCGUUGUUCGGAAUUACUGGGCGUAAAGGGCUCGUAGGCGGCCAACUAAGUCAGACGUGAAAUCCCCAGGCUCAACCUGGGAACUGCGUCUGAUACUGAUUGGCUUGAAUCCGGGAGAGGGAUGCAGAAUUCCAGGUGUAGCGGUGAAAUGCGUAGAUAUCUGGAAGAACACCGAUGGCGAAGGCAGCCAUCUGGACCGACACUGACGCUGAGGCGCGAAAGCGUGGGGAGCAAACAGG